rnacentral:rRNA from 1 species
CUGCUGCCUUCCGUAGGAGCCUGGUCCGUGUCUCAGUACCAGUGUGGGGGACCUUCCUCUCAGAACCCCUAGACAUCGUCGCCUUGGUGGGCCGUUACCCCGCCAACUAGCUAAUGUCACGCAUGCCCAUCCGUCUCCGGAGUCGCCUCCUUUGGCCGAAAGAAGAUGCCUCCCCUCGGCCACAUGCGGUAUUAGGCCGGAUUUCUCCGGGUUAUCCCGCUGAAACGGGCAGGUUGCAUACGCGUUACUCACCCGUGCGCCCGUCGCCGG